GGGGGAGGGGGGUUGCACCUUCAAAUUAAUGUUCUCUCUUUAUGCUAAAGCAAACUACAAACUAGUCACAUGAAAGUAAAAUUAUAGGAGAGGAAUUAAGAUGUGGUCCCACUCUUCAGAAUUUUACCGUUGCCUAUCAAACAACAAUUUAAAUCAUAAGUACUUCUACUUUCCAAAAACUCAUAGAAGAAAAAUGAAAAAGGUUUAUUUGUGAUUAGACAAUAGUUAAAAAGGAAAUAAAGUUGACAAGCCUUUUGCUUCAUAUAUGGUAAGAAAAACAUGAUGUGUAAUGUAGAACUAGAAAUGCCAUGUAUAAUUUCAACCAUAAUUGUAACCUCUUAAAGGUAAU
rnacentral:misc_RNA from 1 species